UGUUAAUCUCUCAGAGAAGGUGACAGUG
rnacentral:piRNA from 2 species